GGGUUAGUAGGUUGGUCAUGCCUCUGGUAUGUACUGAUCUCACUGAUUCCUCCUUCCUGAUGAGCCGUAAUGCCAUUAAUUUGGUGUUUUGGGGAAUUUGGACUGUUACUUUGAAAAAAUUAGAGUGUUUAAAGCAAGCUUACGCUUGAAUACAUUAGCAUGGAAUAAUGAAAUAGGACAUCAUAUUCUAUUUUGUUGGUUUCUAGGAUCGAUGUA
rnacentral:rRNA from 1 species